UACGGAGGGUGCAAGCGUUGUUCGGAAUCAUUGGGCGUAAAGCGCACGUAGGCGGGUUUGUAUGUCGAUUGUGAAAGCCCCGGGCUUAACCUGGGAAUUGCAGUCGAAACUGCAGAUCUUGAAUACCUAAGAGGGUGGGAGAAUUGCUGGUGGAGUAGUGAAAUACGUAGAGAUCAGCAGGAAUACCUGAGGCGAAGGCGCCUACCUGGUAGUGUAUUGACGCUGAGGUGCGAAAGCGUGGGGAGCAAACAGG
rnacentral:rRNA from 1 species